UACGUAGGGGGCAAGCGUUGUCCGGAUUUAUUGGGCGUAAAGAGCGUGUAGGCGGCCAUGUAGGUCCGUUGUGAAAACUCGAGGCUCAACCUCGAGACGCCGAUGGAAACCAUGUGGCUAGAGUCCGGAAGAGGAGAGUGGAAUUCCUGGUGUAGCGGUGAAAUGCGCAGAUAUCAGGAAGAACACCCGUGGCGAAGGCGGCUCACUGGCCCGUAACUGACGCUGAGGCACGAAAGCGUGGGGAGCAAACAGG
rnacentral:rRNA from 1 species